rnacentral:rRNA from 1 species
UCCCAUAAACCGUGGCUCAGUUCAGAUCGUAGGCUGCAACUCGCCUACGUGAAGGCGGAAUCGCUAGUAAUCGCAGGUCAGCACACUGCGGUGAAUACGUUCCCGGGCCUUGUACACACCGCCCGUCACACCAUGGAAGUUGGCCACGCCCGAAGCCGUUACUCCAACCCUUGUGGAGGAGGACGUCGAAGGUGGGGCUGAUGACUGGGGUGAAGUCGUAACAAGGUAUCCGUACCGGAAGGUGCGGAUGGAUCACCUCCUAA